rnacentral:rRNA from 1 species
UACGGGGGGAGCAAGCGUUGUUCGGAUUUACUGGGCGUAAAGGGCGCGUAGGCGGUCGUGACAAGUCACUUGUGAAAUCUCCGGGCUUAACUCGGAACGGUCAAGUGUAUACUGUCGGACUAGAGUACAGAAGGGGCAACGUGGAAUUCUCGGUGUAGCGGUGAAAUGCGUAGAUAUCGAAGAGGAACACCAGAGGUGAAGACGGGUUGCUGGGCUGACACGUGACGCUGAGGCGCGAAAGCCAGGGAGCAAACGGGAUUAGACGUA